CGAACCUAUGUGUGCAAGCAAACCCAGUCAAGCUGACCAUAGACUACAUGACCGUCAUCUGGCUUAACUCCUUCCUGCUGAACCUCAGAAAGUCGUUCAUACUAGAGCCACAUGAACGACAGCCACAGCACACAGACAUCAGGGUAGAGAUGCUGAUGCCCAGGCUGGUGCUUGCAGGCGGAGAAGGAGGUAAUGAAUCAGCCGGAGAGACCCAAGGC